rnacentral:rRNA from 1 species
CCCUUCGAUGUUCGGAGCUGCACGCGCGCUACACUGUGGGUGGCAGCAUGUUAGCUUGCCUCGCUCGCAAGAGUGGGGUAAUCGUUUGAAAAUCCCACGUGAUUGGGAUAGGGACUUGUAAUUAUUUCCCUUGAACGAGGAAUCCCUAGUAAGUGCAGGUCAUCAGCUUGCGCUGAUUACGUCCCUGCCCUUUGUACACACCGCCCGUCGCACCUACCGAUUGAAUGGUCCGGUGAAAUCUCGGGACGGCGGCUUGGUCGCUUGCGUCCGACUGCUGAAACUUGAUUAAACCAUAUCAUUUAGAGGAAGGUGAAGUCGUANCA